GAUGAACGCUGGCGGCGUGCCUAAUACAUGCGAGUCGAGCGAACAGACGAGGAGCUUGCUCCUCUGACGUUAGCGGCGGACGGGUGAGUAACACGUGGAUAACCUACCUAUAAGACUGGGAUAACUUCGGGAAACCGGAGCUAAUACCGGAUAACAUGUUGAACCGCAUGGUUCAACAGUGAAAGACGGUUUUGCUGUCACUUAUAGAUGGAUCCGCGCCGCAUUAGCUAGUUGGUAAGGUAACGGCUUACCAAGGCAACGAUGCGUAGCCGACCUGAGAGGGUGAUCGGCCACACUGGAACUGAGACACGGUCCAGACUCCUACGGGAGGCAGCAGUAGGGAAUCUUCCGCAAUGGGCGAAAGCCUGACGGAGCAACGCCGCGUGAGUGAAGAAGGUCUUCGGAUCGUAAAACUCUGUUAUUAGGGAAGAACAAAUGUGUAAGUAACUAUGCACGUCUUGACGGUACCUAAUCAGAAAGCCACGGCUAACUACGU
rnacentral:rRNA from 1 species